rnacentral:rRNA from 1 species
GACGAAGGUGGCGAGCGUUGUUCGGAAUCACUGGGCAUAAAGCGCACGUAGGCGGUGACGUAAGUCGGGUGUGAAAUCCCUCGGCCUAACCGAGGAACUGCGCCCGAUACUGCGUUGCUUGAGGACCAGAGGGGUGCAUGGAAUUUCCGGUGGAGCGGUGAAAUGCGUUGAUAUCGGAAGGAACUCCGGCGGCGAAAGCGAUGCACUGGCUGGUUUCUGACGCUGAGGUGCGAAAGCCAGGGGAGCAAAC